rnacentral:rRNA from 1 species
UACGUAGGUGGCAAGCGUUGUCCGGAAUUAUUGGGCGUAAAGCGCGCGCAGGCGGUUCUUUAAGUCUGAUGUGAAAGCCCACGGCUCAACCGUGGAGGGUCAUUGGAAACUGGAGAACUUGAGUACAGAAGAGAAAAGCGGAAUUCCACGUGUAGCGGUGAAAUGCGUAGAGAUGUGGAGGAACACCAGUGGCGAAGGCGGCUUUUUGGUCUGUAACUGACGCUGAGGCGCGAAAGCGUGGGGAGCAAACAGG